CACGUAGGCGGAUUGCUAAGUCAGGGGUGAAAUCCUGGAGCUCAACUCCAGAACUGCCCUUGAUACUGGCGGUCUUGAGUCCGGGAGAGGUGAGUGGAACUGCGAGUGUAGAGGUGAAAUUCGUAGAUAUUCGCAAGAACACCAGUGGCGAAGGCGGCUCACUGGCCCGGUACUGACGCUGAGGUGCGAAAGCGUGGGGAGCAAACA
rnacentral:rRNA from 1 species